rnacentral:rRNA from 1 species
GGUGAACGCUAGCGGCAGGCUUAAUACAUGCAAGUCGUGGGGCAGCAUGGUGGUAGCAAUACCACUGAUGGCGACCGGCAAACGGGUGCGGAACACGUACGCAAUCUACCCAGGACUGGCGAAUAGCCCUCCGAAAGGAGGAUUAAUACGCCGUAACAUUAUAAAGUGGCAUCACUUAAUAAUUAAAGCUCCGGCGGUUUUGGAUGAGCGUGCGCCCCAUUAGGUAGUUGGUUGAGGUAAUGGCUCACCAAGCCUGCGAUGGGUAACUGGUGUGAGAGCACGACCAGUCACACGGGCACUGCGACACGGGCCCGACUCCUACGGGAGGCAGCAGUAAGGAAUAUUGGUCAAUGGACGCAAGUCUGAACCAGCCAUGCCGGGUGGAGGAUGAAGGCCCUCUGGGUUGUAAACUUCUUUUAUGGGGGACGAAAUCACUUAUUCUUAAGUGUCUGACGGUACCCCAGGAAUAAGCACCGGCUAACUCCGUGCCAGCAGCCGCAGUAAGAC